rnacentral:rRNA from 1 species
CCCUUCGGGGUGGAUCAGUGGCGAACGGGUGAGUAACACGUGAGCAACCUGCCCCUGGCUCUGGGACAACCACUGGAAACGGUGGCUAAUACCGGAUACGACUCGCCCCGGCAUCGGGUGCGGGUGGAAAGAUUUAUCGGCUGGGGAUGGGCUCGCGGCCUAUCAGCUUGUUGGUGGGGUGAUGGCCUACCAAGGCGACGACGGGUAGCCGGCCUGAGAGGGCGACCGGCCACACUGGGACUGAGACACGGCCCAGACUCCUACGGGAGGCAGCAGUGGGGAAUAUUGCACAAUGGGCGCAAGCCUGAUGCAGCGACGCCGCGUGAGGGAUGACGGCCUUCGGGUUGUAAACCUCUUUCAGCUUUGACGAAGCCCCUCGGGGUGACGGUAGGAGCAGAAGAAGCACCGGCUAACUACGUGCCAGCAGCCGCGGUAAUACGUAGGGUGCAAGCGUUGUCCGGAAUUAUUGGGCGUAAAGAGCUCGUAGGCGGUGUGUCGCGUCUGCUGUGAAAACUCAGGGCUCAACUCUGAGCUUGCAGUGGGUACGGGCACACUUGAGUGCGGUAGGGGAGACUGGAAUUCCUGGUGUAGCGGUGAAAUGCGCAGAUAUCAGGAGGAACACCGGUGGCGAAGGCGGGUCUCUGGGCCGUAACUGACGCUGAGGAGCGAAAGCAUGGGGAGCGAACAGGAUUAGAUACCCUGGUAGUCCAUGCCGUAAACGUUGGGCGCUA